rnacentral:rRNA from 1 species
AGAGUUUGAUCCUGGCUCAGAUUGAACGCUGGCGGCAUGCCUUACACAUGCAAGUCGAACGGCAGCACGGGAGCAAUCCUGGUGGCGAGUGGCGAACGGGUGAGUAAUAUAUCGGAACGUGCCCAGUCGUGGGGGAUAACGCAGCGAAAGCUGUGCUAAUACCGCAUACGAUCUAUGGAUGAAAGCGGGGGAUCGCAAGACCUCGCGCGAUUGGAGCGGCCGAUAUCAGAUUAGGUAGUUGGUGGGGUAAAGGCCUACCAAGGCGACGAUCAGUAGCCGGCCUGAGAGGGUGAACGGCCACACUGGGACUGAGACACGGCCCAGACUCCUACGGGAGGCAGCAGUGGGGAAUUUUGGACAAUGGGCGCAAGCCUGAUCCAGCCAUGCCGCGUGAGUGAAGAAGGCCUU